GAUGAACGCUGGCGGCGUGCCUAAUACAUGCAAGUCGAGCGAACAGACGAGGAGCUUGCUCCUCUGACGUUAGCGGCGGACGGGUGAGUAACACGUGGAUAACCUACCUAUAAGACUGGGAUAACUUCGGGAAACCGGAGCUAAUACCGGAUAAUAUAUUGAACCGCAUGGUUCAAUAGUGAAAGACGGUUUUGCUGUCACUUAUAGAUGGAUCCGCGCCGCAUUAGCUAGUUGGUAAGGUAACGGCUUACCAAGGCAACGAUGCGUAGCCGACCUGAGAGGGUGAUCGGCCACACUGGAACUGAGACACGGUCCAGACUCCUACGGGAGGCAGCAGUAGGGAAUCUUCCGCAGAGGGCGAAAGCCUGACGGAGCGACGCCGCGUGAGUGAUGAAGGUCUUCGGAUCGUAAAACUCUGUUAUUAGGGAAGAACAAAUGUGUAAGUAACUAUGCACGUCUUGACGGUACCUAAUCAGAAAGCCACGGCUAACUACGUG
rnacentral:rRNA from 1 species